AUCGGUGUUGAUUGCUUUGAGGAUCCACCCGUUCCCAUACCGAACACGGUAGUUAAGCUCAAUAGCGCCGAAGAUACUUGGCGGGAGACUGCUUGGGAAAAUAGGUAAUGCCGAUA
rnacentral:rRNA from 1 species